UACGGGGGGGGCAAGCGUUGUUCGGAAUUAUUGGGCGUAAAGAGCGUGUAGGCGGCCAGGUAGGUCUGCUGUGAAAACUCGAGGCUCAACCUCGAGACGUCGGCGGAAACCAUCUGGCUAGAGUCCGGAAGAGGAGAGUGGAAUUCCUGGUGUAGCGGUGAAAUGCGCAGAUAUCAGGAAGAACACCCGUGGCGAAGGCGGUCU
rnacentral:rRNA from 1 species